AUGGGCUUUAUUAUCUCCAGACCUUCAGAUGGUCUGCGGUCAGGAACUCAUCGUCCCGUGCAACUGUACAAAACAACAUAAUUCCUUCAACAAUUCCCUUGACUUUUUGUUUUUAAAGCGCAGCACUGUGACAGUAAGAUCGAACCAACACCAUUCACAGCACUCCAAAACACAAGAUGAAGCUCGGCUACAUUUUACACACACCAGCGGCGUCCUCACUGAAAAGUAAAAAGACUACAAGUUCUCAGCAGAAAGCCUGUUCAAAAUCACUGCUACUACAUAAGGCAUUUGUUCAACCUGAAGAGGAAACGGGCCAAUUAUUAAACAAGAUUAUCUACAGCUCAGAAAGGUCACUAAACACCUGGAAUGUUGCAUAUUUCUCGCUACAGACUCAGCGCCAGUCCUCUAGGGGGCAGCACUGGCAGAAUGCAGCGUUUUUUCGCUGGUAAGAAGGCCUGACGUGUGGCCACCCAUCACACCUUGAGUGGACUGCAUAUAUGUCGGCGUUCAAAUGCAUAGGGGUGAAACUGGAGGCCGGCGCUGCAGUCCUGGGAGGAUUGUCAGAGUUUACUGUGGUGUUUGGAGGGCUAGGAUUGACUGUGUGCUGAUGGAGAUCCUCCAUGAGCCCCUGGGGCCUGAGACAUGUCUCUGCCGAUGAUCUCAUUCACUGAAACACACACAUAAGGAGAUUAUUGAUAAGGGAAAUACAGAGACUGAUAUGGUUGGAGACACAAUUAAAAUGUUUGAAAUAAAUGUUGUAGUAGAUACUGUAAUAAUCUG
rnacentral:lncRNA from 1 species